GAUGCGAGAAUAGAAGAAGAAGAAGUUGUGUUUCAAAUCGAGAUUCUCUCCAAGUUCCUUCGAUUUCAAAUCUUGAUUCUUAUCAUUUUUUCCCUUCUUCAAUUCAGUUCAGUUCAAUCAAUUCAAUUUUGUUUUUAGGUUUUAGUUUUGAUUGGAAUAUUCGAUUUUAGGCUUAGAUCUCAAAUAUGAUUGGAGUGCAAUUCCAUUGCAAAUGAUUUCUAAAAGAGGGUUCUGGUGGAUAAAUCAAAUGAUUGAACAUGGGUGUGUAGUGUGACUGAUUGAGGGUUGGAAUCAGAUGAAGAAGAAAUGGGGUUUUCUGCCAUAAAAAAUCAGGGAAGAUAGGGUUUCCGCUGAUGUGUGAUUCAAGUUGCAAGUAACUAUCAUACGAAGAACAGGAAAUCAAAGAACAACACCCAGAUGUGUAAUUCCAUAAAACUCUUGCACCAAUCCAUAUUCUUCAAACUUCUUUUUGGGCAAUCGCAUCGAAUCUUAACUAUGAAUAUACAACUACCACCAUUUGGGAAAAAGAAAAUGAUGAUAGUGAAUCAGGGGCUGUUAAGGACGGGGUUUGUGUGUCCACUUUUAUGGUUACUAUGGGUCGAAAUCUGAAUAUAAAAGGUACAAGAGUGGUGCCUGCAAUAUUAGUUGCCAUGGUUCUGGUGUACGUUUGGAAGCCGGAGAUAACAUGGAACGAGGGUACGAUGUGGUUCAUGUAAAUGGCUCGAUGGUUUGCUGAUAUUGGUAAAGGAAUUGGUGUUGUUGCCAUCGUUGUUUGUCCGUUUAAGACUUGUGCUGCUGUUGUGAUUGAUAGUUAUGUAGGAGGGGGCAUUAGGCUGUGAACUAUAAUGUUUUUGUUUUGUUGCUUUUUUCAGAAUUGUUAUGAUACUUUAUAGUUUUAGUCGUUUUUGAGA